GGAGUCUGGGCCGUGUCUCAGUCCCAAUGUGGCCGUUCAACCUCUCAGUCCGGCUACUGAUCGUCGGCUUGGUGGGCCGUUACCUCACCAACUACCUAAUCAGACGCGAGCUCAUCUUUCGGCGAAAUUCGUUUGAUAACAAAGUCAUGCGGCUUCGUUAUGUUAUGAGGUAUUAACAUUCGUUUCCAAAUGGUAUCCCUCUCCGAAGGCAGAUUGCUCACGUGUUACUCACCCGUCCGCCACUAGCUAGAGAGUGCAAGCACUCUUUCGCUCGUUCGACUUGCAUGUGUUAAGCGUGCCGCCAGCGUGUCCUGAGCCACGGAUCAACUACU
rnacentral:rRNA from 1 species